rnacentral:rRNA from 1 species
GAUGAACGCUAGCUACAGGCUUAACACAUGCAAGUCGAGGGGAAACGGCAUUGAGUGCUUGCACUCUUUGGACGUCGACCGGCGCACGGGUGAGUAACGCGUAUCCAACCUUCCCAUUACUGUGGGAUAACCUGCCGAAAGGCAGACUAAUACCGCAUAGUCUUCGAUGACGGCAUCAGAUUUGAAGUAAAGAUUUAUCGGUAAUGGAUGGGGAUGCGUCUGAUUAGCUUGUUGGCGGGGUAACGGCCCACCAAGGCAACGAUCAGUAGGGGUUCUGAGAGGAAGGUCCCCCACAUUGGAACUGAGACACGGUCCAAACUCCUACGGGAGGCAGCAGUGAGGAAUAUUGGUCAAUGGACGGAAGUCUGAACCAGCCAAGUAGCGUGCAGGAUGACGGCCCUAUGGGUUGUAAACUGCUUUUGUAUGGGGAUAAAGUUAGGGACGUGUCCCUAUUUGCAGGUACCAUACGAAUAAGGACCGGCUAAUUCCGUGCCAGCAGCCGCGGUAAUACGGAAGGUCCAGGCGUUAUCCGGAUUUAUUGGGUUUAAAGGGAGCGUAGGCUGGAGAUUAAGUGUGUUGUGAAAUGUAGACGCUCAACGUCUGACUUGCAGCGCAUACUGGUUUCCUUGAGUACGCACAACGUUGGCGGAAUUCGUCGUGUAGCGGUGAAAUGCUUAGAUAUGACGAAGAACUCCGAUUGCGAAGGCAGCUGACGGGAGCGCAACUGACGCUGAAGCUCGAAGGUGCGGGUAUCGAACAGG